GAUGAACGCUGGCGGCGUGCCUAACACAUGCAAGUCGAGCGAACAGACGAGGAGCUUGCUCCUCUGACGUUUGCGGCGGACGGGUGAGUAACACGUGGAUAACAUACCUAUUAGACUGGGAUAAUAUCGGGAAACCGGAUCUAAUAACGGAAAAUAUAUUGUACCACAUGGAUCAAUGGUGAAAGACGGCUUUGCUGUCACUUAUAGAUGUAUACGCGUCGCAUUAGCUAGUUGGUAAGGUAACUGCUUACCAAGGCAACGAUGCGUAGCCGACCUGAGAGGAUGAUCGGCCACACUGGAACUGAGACACGGUCCAGACUCCUACGGGAGGCAGCAGUAGGGAAUCGUGCGCAAUGGGCGAAAGCCUGACGGAGCAACGCCGCGUGAGUGAUGAAGGUCUUCGGAUCGUAAAACUCUGUUAUUAGGAAAGAAAAGAUGUGUAAGUAGCUAUGCACGUCUUGACGGUACCAAAAGAAAAAGCCACGGCUAACUACGUG
rnacentral:rRNA from 1 species